ACAGUGAACAUUCUCAGAACACGUCAUGAUGUCACCAACAGGAAAGUUAGAUGUGGGUGUGUUAAUAUCGUAUUCGCAAUGAAUCGUCGAGGAAAGAGCGGGAGCAAUACAUACAGACAAUCACAACUGCAACAUGAAGUGCUCAGGCAACAGUAAAGAUGGGAGUCCUUGUGAUUACACUUCAGAGAAGCCAUUUAGAUUUUGUCCACAAUGUGGCGAGUCGCCAUUGAUAGAGAUUCCUUGUCCUGGAAGAGAUAAUGAACCAUGUGGAGAACCAAUCACAGUUAAGUUCACGUUUUGCCCAGGGUGUGGAUUGAAAAUUGAUCAGACUUUAUUUACAAAACCAAGAAAGAAGUGUCCACAAUGUGAUGUAGAUGUACCUGAAGGAAAGAAAUUCUGCGCCGAGUGUGGUGCAAGAAUCACAUCUACAAAUAGUGAUUCUGACAAAGAUGAAAACAAGAACAAGAAGACAACACAACAGGAUGAAGCUGAUAUAAAUGCUAAUGCCAGUGGAGUAGCAGAGCCAUUUAAAGUGAGCUAUCCCCCUGUUGGAAUACAGGAGACAUCUCUUACAUCUGAGCCCAAACAACAUCAGCAGCCCGCUGAUAUUGCUCCUUCAAAUCCUGCGUCAAUUGUGUCAACUGUGAUACCUGAGCCCAAACAACAUCAGCAGCCCACUGAUACUGUUCCUUCAAAUCCUGCGUCCAAUGUGUCAACUGUGACACGUGAGUCGAAACAACAUCAGCAGCCCACUGAUAGAGUUCCAACAAACACUGCAUCCAAUGUGUCCUAUGUAACUAUUGUGCAAGCUGAGACUUCUCCCAACAUGAAGAGAAGCAUAUCUCCUGAACUGAUGACUGAUCCAAAAAAAACACGAUCCACAUCAAACCUCUCAAAUGAUGCUGGAAGUGUUUCAUACAAUUUGUCCACAACUGCUACUACCACAUCAGCUGACACAACUAAGACUGCUGAUAAAACAGCUGCGGCCACUGCAAUUGUUGCUAGUGAUAUUGCAACUAUGAAUGUGAUUCCAAAUGAGCUUGUUGCUACUGAUCCUGACAGUAGCCACGGUGAAGGUCAUUUAAGGGAUGGUCGAAAUUCACAAAGCAACAUUUCUGGGGUUGAUGAUAGCUCUGGAAAUAAUAUUGCUGACAGAGUCAAGAAAGGGAGGAAUGUGAUCAGCAAUCAAGCAGAAAUAGAAGGUCUUUCAAACACAAAUAAUUCAAACAGCAAAACACUGGUUGGAUCAAAGGCCACAUAUUCAACUACAGAUCCCCUGUCAAGAAACACACCUAAGGAAGUAGAAGACACUGCAGAUUCUUCAAAUGCAAAAUCUUUUGAAAAUAAGGGAGGCCAGAUUCAGUCAAACAAUGAGGAUAAAAAACCACAAACAUAUAGUAGUGUUGCUGCAAAGUCAACAACCAAUAAGAAUGCCUCACAGAACAAGAAAGGUGGAAAGGGUGCAGGUAAAGAAGCGGUAAAGGGAAAGCCAAAUGCAAGAAAAUCAGCAAGGGAAAGUGAUGUUGAGGUUGUUUUCCAUGCUCUCAUAUCAGAGGAAAUGAAGCUUGAUAGAAAAGAAGAGGAUGUGUACAUACGAUUCGGACCUCCAAGUCUAGGUGGAUUUGAGAACAGUGUUUGGAAAAUGGACUAUUUCAGAGAAGCAAUGGAUGGCGUUCAUGAGUAUAUUGCUCACAUACCCAUGUCCAGAGAUCAGCGAAACAAGACAUUCAAAUACAAAUAUAUCAUACAAACCAGUCCAGGUGAUGUUAGGUGGGAAGAACCAUACUACAGGAAGAAAGCCUACCAUGGAAGCGCCAUGGUAAAUCGUCAGUUUGAUUUGCCAAGUACAUGGAAACAGAUGCAAGGAGUUUGGCAUCAAUAUGAUGGAUUUGUGUAUCCCAAAAAGGAGAAAGGAUGGUGGAAUGCAGUUAAAAGUUUAUGGAAAGGAAGCUUUGAAGACAAGAUUCUAGCUGAUACAGAACUAGCCACUGAAUUAUUUAUGCCAAGCAAAGAUGAAAUCCUGAAAUGUUUGUCCCAGGAAUUGCCCCAAGAAUCAAAAACAGCAGAGGAUUUGUUGAGGGUAGUAUUUAUGGUCUUUUCAAGUAUGAAGGUCCAAAUGCUGGACAGAGACCUGAGAAAUGCUGAUGAUGACCUCAGAACCAAGGUAUUUCUGAAGUUCUUCAAACCACUACAGGAGCACCUCUUAAUGGGCCUUGACCAGAAAAGUCCAGUGUCUCCAGACAGAUCCAGAUUGGUUUUGGCUUCAUUUCUAUUACUUUUGGCCUGGGAGAAUGAUAUGUCACACAUCCUGCAGACCGAUAAGAGACUACCACAAGCAUUUCUGCCUCAACCAGACUUUGAAAAGAAAGAAUGCUCAGACAUUGCAUCUUUGAAGAAUCACUUCAGAGCCAAGGCAUCAAAAGAGCUUGUGGACUGUUUACGAUGGUCAAUAAGUCAACAUUGUCAAAACUUUUCAUAUGGAAGCGCAUCACAUUAUCAACAAUGUGCCGAGUCACAGUGGUUAUAUUUGGUGCCGCUCCUACACUUUUUGAGGAAAGAUUCAGAGCCAUUCAAAACAGUCUUUGACACUGAUCACACAAAAAGAACAUGGUGGGGCCAUGAAGACAUUGACCGCACAAAAGACACCUUGAAAGGGCUGUAUAAAUGGUCAAUUCCUGCAGGUAACAUUGCUGGAGAUCUGGAACAUUUGUUUGAAGUUGACCAUUUGCUACCAAGAACGCUGAUGGCAUGUGUAUCCAGUUCACAUUUGCUGGAUGCAGAUUUUCUGAACAAAAUACCACCUGAAGUCACUUCAGCAACAAUCUGCUACUACCUGAAAGCUCAAUAUUACACGAGGGAGGGCAAGGUGGCAAUCUCCAAACAAUUGCAAGUUGUGGCUCAGACAUACCGACAAAGAUGGGAGCGGAUGAAGGAUAUGUCACUCAAUGCAAGAGUUCUUGAACAACAUAUGGCACAAGCAAACCUUGGUAUGAGGACAGCCUUUGAGGUUUUUACCAUUUCUCUGAAAGAGAGAUAUGAAAUCACAGACCUUGUAGUCUCUGCUGCCAAUCUCUUCCUGAGCAGUCUUUGGGAUGGACAACUUAUGUAUCAAGAUGUGAAACUGACUCCUCAGCUUCAAAUUGAGUUGAACAAAUGUGUAGAGUAUCAUCAUUCCAGUCUGCGUGGUACCAUUGACAUGCUCCUCACAUGGUUGGAUCGUCGUUUUGAUUUUUUUCAGGUGCACUAUGUGAAAAGGUCUCUUGAGUUUUGGAAUGAAUUGGUUAAUGUGACAGUUGCCUUUCCUGCCUUCCAAAAAGAAUGGAAAGAUACCCUUCUUGAUGCUUUUGAGAAAAUUCUAUCAAAGAUGAAACCUCAUGACUGUUUAGAGCUACACAUGGAGGAUUACCAAACAAUCACUCUUUCAACAUCCCUGGAGGAAAGGAUGACAAGUGCUGCAUUCUCUUCUUUUGACAAGCUUGUGAAAGACGGAUAUUUCAACUCAUAUUCAUGGACUACCAUGAGUAAGAAAUUUGGAGAACUAAUGUCAAAACUAUUGGAAAGACAUUGGCCACAAGAUGAGACAACUGAAACACAAGUCAUGGAAUUUGUCCUCUCCUGGAAGCCCCUGAAGCACUAUUUUGAACGGUUCUAUACAAAAACCAAUCCAAGUGAGCUGUUGUCAGUUGACUGCAUUGCUCACCUUACACAGACUGCCACUCUUCUGGACAGUUUAAAAGAUGACUUAUGCAGUGGAAACAUCACAAUUCCACAGCUGAGACUGAUUCUUGGAGACAGUCACAACUUCUUACAACUUUGGGUUGCUGUGAAGACAAACUUUCUUGGUGAAGAUGAAAAACAAUUUGGAAAAGAACACCUUCAAUACAUCCUUCAGGCCAGAGAUAGAGAACUUAAAUCCUGUGAACUUUGUCUGCAGAAAGUGAAAAUUCUUCUGAAGAUGUGUGUGCAUAUUGUCAAAGUGGAUUCAAAUGCACUUUAUGAACGAGCUACAGAAGUGGACAAGAUGCUGGAGGUGGGAAGAGUAAAAGAAAUUUGCAAACCACUGAAUUUGGACAUGUACCCUGGAAGUCUUGAAAACUACCAAGUCAGACUCUGUGUGUUUGACAUUCCAGAUGAGGUCUUAGCUAUUGUCCCUGAACUUGAAAAGUGGAGACAGAGUAUGAUCUUUCAAAAGAUUUGGGAACAGAAAGCAAGUGAUAUUCAACAAGGGACUGAUUUGAACAUGGCCAUCUUGAAAGUAUGGAAUACAGUCAAAUCAACAUGGUUGUCACUGUGCACCCAAUUUGCUAAUGGGUCUGCAACAUUCCGACUUGUCCAAAAGCAUGUACUCAUGUUUGAUAGAGACAGCAAGAAAAUUAAAAGAGAGUUUAAGCUGAUGAGUGCAGACGUGCAAUCAACUGCUUGGAUUGAGGAAAGAGUGAUGCAGCUCAGUUCAUAUGAAGUGUUGCAAGAUUGUCAGAAAGCUGCUGAUAUCAUAUUGGACAUAAAAGAUAUCUAUGAUAUUUCUGGAAACUUUGCCCCUGUUCAAGCAGUCAAACUGCUGGGCAGCAAUCGUGAUCAGCCUAUGAGCACCAUGGAUGGAUCUGUUUUGAAAACCUGUGAUGUUCUUAAAGGCCUGAACGAUGAAACGAAACAGGCAUGUAUCAAGGCUUUCAAAGACAGUAAACAGCUAGUAGACUGGCUGAGAGACUCAAUGAAAGAUGGCGUGAAGGAACUGAAGGUGUUUGUGGACCUGGCAUUUAUCUCAGCUGGAGAGGAACCGAUGGAGAUACACAAAGUCAACUGUUUCCACUCAGCAACCACUGGAUAUGCUCCACUGAUCUUCAACACACCACAGACUGCAGACUAUGACUCUUUCCUCAAGAAUUGCGAACUUGUCUGGCAAGAACUGAGAUCAGACAGAAAGUUACCUGAAAAAUUGGUUGAUACAUGUCGUCAUCUACGGUGGCUGAAAGAAGUAAAACAGUCACAUGGCUCUGUGGAAGUAACAGCACUCACACAGGCUUCAAUGAUCAACACAAGAGGAUUAUACAGGAUUGGACAUCUGAACAAGCUUGAUACAGCUUCUGAUAUGAUGCUGACCAAUGUGAUCAGUUUACAUGUGUCAAAAGACACUGAGGACAAUACUUCACGAAAGUACAGCUACGACCAGUUGGUGGAUCUGCAGAGCAGACUCAUGCUGGUUGCAGGACAGGCUGAAAUUGGCAAUGAAAAUGUUGAUCACUUCAUUAUGGUCCUAGAUGGAAUCGUGCGUCUAGCCAAAACCUACAUCAGACUGUGUACAGAUGGAUGUGUCUUGUUCAAUUGUUGGAAGGGGAAGUUCCUAUGUGGAGAGGACACGAAAGUAUGCACUUUUUUGGAAUUUGGUCAAGGAGAUAAUCUUGAAACUCUGAAGGGACAUCGUGGGGUAGAGGGUGUGGGUGGCUUCAUCCAUGCUCUUGCCAAUGAGUUUGAGGUCUUCCAUGAUGAAUGGAUGAACUAUGUCAGUAACAGAAGAGAUGAGUACUUGGAGCUGAACUUCUACACCAUUGACCAGCUAGUGUUCCUUCAGAGAGAACUCAUCAAACUAGGCACAGAAGAGGAACCUUCUGUUCGUGUGUACUCAAUGUUGUCUCUGAUCAAGCCUGACUGUACCCAAGCAGAUCUCACUGAUGCCAUGCAGGCAGCUCAAGAUGCAGUCUUUACCAAAGACAAAGACACAGAUAAAGAAAUGGAAGUUGAUGUGCCACUUGAAGAAUCUGAUCUCAAACAAGCCUUCAUUAAUGCCAUGCUAGAAACAAACUUCUCGAACGGACUGGCAAGACUUGCUUUGGAGGCCAUUGGGCCUGAUGAUAUUGACAGUGGUAUUGUGUGGUGUAUGGAGCACCAGGAGGAAGAGUCUGAGGAGGAGACAGAGGUGAGAGCAUCAUCAGUGGAUCCACCAAUACAGGUCUUUGGUGGCUGGCACUCUGGGGGAGAGUCUGUUUCUUCCAGUGCUGUGUCCUGGGUCAGGAGUGUAUCAUCAAGCAACAGGAAUAUAACAACUGUUGAGACUUUGACAUCCAACUUGAGGUCAGUGUGGAAGACGUUCCUGGAAGCUGUAUCAUCCAGUGUAGCAGAUUAUCUCAGUCUGGAACAUCUGGGCAUCAUCCUCAGACAGCUGGCACAAACAGAUCAUCGAACCUUUAAGCGGACUAUACCACCACCACUUAAACCAGGAAUUUCUAACUUGAUUGUCUGCCCUCAAGCUGACAUGCUGAAUGCUGUUGUAUACAUGUACAAACAUUCAGAGGAAGAGCCACUUCCUCAGCAUGAUGAAGUCCUUCUGUGCACGCCACAAACUACCUUUGACCAGGUUGAUAUCUUCCUGCGUCGAGCCUUCUUCAGCAACCCUGGCAAGUUGUAUACAAUGGCCAAUGCUGAUCUGCUGCAGUAUGAGAUAGAGGAGAGGGCAGAGAAGAAGCUCAAAGAGUAUGCAAACAGAGAAGAAGGUCUUGACUAUCAGCUUGUGAUCUUGUGUUCUACUGAGAAUGAGUUCAAAGCAAGAAUUGUGGCAGCUCUUGAAAGACAGAGAUGCCCUCCACCUCCACUGCAACACUUGGAAGAUAUAAGACACUACCUGCAGUUGAAGUUUUCACAGAAGUAUGAAAAACGGGGAAUGACAUCUGCCUCAGGAUUAGAUUUCGAUGGUUCCACAGUGCGGGUGAUCAAGUCCAAGAGAGCUGGUGUGGGGAAGACCUUGUACAAGAAGCGCCAGGUGGAGGCACUGCAGCGUCUGAACCCUAGAGUCCCUGCUACAUCAGUGUCCAUACAUCUGUAUGAGAAAAGUGUGUCUACAAUGGCUGUGGCAGAGAAACUGCUGGAUCAUACACUGCAGUCUGGACAAGUCCUACCAAGAAUAUUCCACCUGGACAUCUCAUAUGAGGUUCAGGAAGGUGUCGACUAUCUCCUCUUCAACCUGCUGGUUCUGGGCUCUAUCAGCAACAACAUGGGACAUGUCUGGCUCAAGUCUCCCCUGGACUUGUAUCUGGUGGAGACCAUCCCCAUCACAGAUGUCAGACAGGACAGGAGAGCCAGUCAGCGUUUGAUACAUUCCAUACUGGAAGUCCUGCCUGAUGUUUUCUGCUGGUCUCCUCAAGACAGUCAGCAAAUACUCACCACAGACAACAAACCUGAAGAUUACUCUAAUAAUGACAGGCUGUUUGAUGACAUAGAGUUUCAAAGCCAAGUUUACCAGCGCCCCUUUCAGUAUCUGAAGAGAAUGAACAUCAAAGCCAAUCUAGCUGAAAUCAACCCUGCUGUACCAGAAGGGUCACAUCAAGAAUGUCUCAACGUCCUUCUACAACACUGUGGAGUACGAGACCCAGCUUGGUCUGAGCUUCACAACUUUGUGUGGUUCCUGAAUACUCAGCUGGUGGACUUUGAGAACUCCAUCUUCUGUUCAGACCUCAUUUUGGAGGAUCUACCUGGCUUCCCUGUGUUGGUGCUGCACUUCCUUAUCCAGAUGUCAAGGGACUUUGCAACCAGGUCACUAGUGAUGAGUGAAGAGUCACCUCUGGACCAGCUGAAUGUUCAAGAGAGAGAAGAAGAUCUUGCACAGUUUCAGAUGAAGCGGACAUGGGAAAGCAGCCCUCACCCUUACAUUUUCUUCAACCCUGAUGGCCACACCAUGACUUUCCUUGGCUUCAACAUUGACCGCCAGACUGGGAACAUGGUGGACCAGCAGACACAGAAGGUGCUGGAGAGAAAUCUUGUACCCAAACCACUACAAGAAGCACUGAUCAGAAACAGGGUCAACAUCAAUGAGAACUUUGAUCAGAUGCAAAGACUUGAGCGAUUGGCUAAGCUGUGCAGUGUGAUGCCAGGUGUUGACUUCGUACAUGACCCUGACGACACAUAUGAGCUGACAACAGACAAUGUCAAGAAGAUUCUUGCAAUUUACAUGAGAUUUAGGUGUGGAAUCCCAGUGAUAAUCAUGGGAGAGACAGGAUGUGGGAAGACAAGACUGGUCAAGUUCAUGUGUGCCUUACAGUGCAUGCCAGGCUCCGACAUGAAAAAUAUGGUCAUUAUGAAGGUGCAUGGUGGCACAACCUCUGACGACAUCAUCAAGAAGGUCAAGCAUGCAGAACAACUGGCCAUUGCUAACAAGGCUAGGAACCCACACAUGUACACUGUGCUGUUCUUUGAUGAAGCAAACACAACAGAAGCCAUUGGAAUCAUCAAGGAAAUAAUGUGUGAUGGCUGUAUGAAUGGACAGCCACUGAAACUGUCGGAAAACCUGAAGAUUGUGGCUGCCUGCAAUCCUUACAGAAAGCAUUCUGAUGAGUUGAUUCAGAGACUUGAAAAAGCCGGACUUGGCUAUCAUGUAGAUGCUGACAAGACAACAGAUAAGCUAGGCCAUGUCCCUAUGAGGAGACUUGUGUACCGGGUUCAGCCUCUGCCACAGAGCAUGCUGCCUCUUGUUUGGGACUUUGGCCAACUCAACAUACAAGUGGAAGAACUCUACAUCAGACAGAUGGUCAACAGAUAUGUACGAAAUGAUCAGAUACCAUUACAUCAAAACAUGGUAAACGUGGUCAGUAAGAUUCUAAUAGCCUCUCAAGAGUUCAUGAGAAAACAAGAGGAUGAGUGCAGCUUUGUAAGUCUUCGUGAUGUUGAUCGGACCCUGAGUGUCAUGUCCUGGUUCUACCAGCAGUCCCAGGAGAAUGGAACACUAUUUGAGAUGAUAGAUGAUGAUCUGUGUCCUGAAAAGGACCCAGAAGAGGAGGAAGAAGAGACAGUUCAACAAAACAAUUUGCCAAGUGAUGUGACCAAAGCCCUGAUCUUGGCACUAAGUGUGUGUUACCGAGCAUCACUGAGAAGUCGGGAGGAAUAUGAUCAACACAUCUUCAGAUAUUUUCAGGAUCCUUGUGGCAUACCUGGUGGAAUUGACCAGAUGGUUCAAGUCAUAAACAGCUGUCAGAGAGUGUUUGUGGAUGAGGUCCAGCUUGAAGAUAACAUAGCAAAGAACCAGGCCCUGAAGGAGAACCUGUUCAUGAUGGUUGUCUGUAUUGAACUGAGGAUCCCCCUUUUCCUGGUGGGAAAACCAGGCAGCUCCAAGUCCCUGGCCAAGACCAUUGUUGCAGAUGCUAUGCAGGGCAACUCAGCCAGAUCAGAGCUGUUCAAACAACUGAAACAGGCCCAGAUGGUGUCGUUCCAGUGCAGUCCUCUGGCCACUGCUGAAGGUAUUGUCGGUACCUUCCGUCAGUGUGCUCGCUACCAACAGGACAAGGACCUGGACAGGUUUGUCUCCAUCGUAGUUCUGGAUGAAGUUGGUCUGGCAGAAGACUCACCAAGGAUGCCCCUCAAGACACUUCACCCACUUUUGGAGGACGGUUGUCAGGGAGAUGAAGCGCCAGAGCUAUUCAAGAAGGUUGCCUUCAUUGGUAUCUCCAACUGGGCCCUGGACCCUGCUAAGAUGAACCGAGGAAUCUUGGUGCAGAGAGAAGCCCCCAAUGAUUGGGAGCUGGUGGAGAGUGCUAAAGGCAUUUGCUCAGCUAAUGAGAUAGUACUCAGAAGAAUCAAGCCUUUGCUGCCAGAGCUCGCUAAUGCCUACAAGACAAUAUUCCAUAGAGCACAAGAUACGAAGAGAGAAUUCUUUGGUCUCAGAGAUUUCUACAGCCUUGUGAAGAUGGUUUAUGCCUUUGCUGAUAAACAUGAUCGAGACAUUUGCUGGCAUCAGUUGGUGCAUGCUGUAAGGAGAAACUUUGGUGGCCUUGACAACCUGGACCCUGUUGUUGUGUUCAGGGACAAGAUUGGUACAGUUCAAAAGCUGGAAGAGAAACAUCAUGAUGAUCCUGACUCCACAACAAUUGGGCUGAUAGAAGAUGGUCUUUUAGGUGAUGGUACAAGCAGUGAGAGCCGUUACCUGCUGUUGCUGACAGAGAACUACGGAGCUCUGAGCAUCCUACAGCAAGAGAUUUUAGCCAGACAUAAAGUCAUUACAAUCUUUGGCUCAAGUUUUCCCAAGGACCAAGAAUAUACACAGGUGUGCCGUAACAUCAACAGAAUCAAGGUGUGCAUGGAGACUGGCAGCACAGUGAUCCUGUUGAACCUGGAGAAUCUGUAUGAGAGUCUUUAUGAUGCACUCAACCAGUACUAUGCCAGACUUGGAGGUGAACGUUUUGUUGAUCUUGGACUUGGAACACACAGAGUAAAGUGCAGAGUUCAUCAGAACUUCAAACUGAUUGUAGUAGCAGAAAAGCAGAAGGUGUACGAAGAGUUUCCAAUACCGCUGAUCAACCGCCUGGAGAAACACUUCCUGACACUCAACAACAUGAUGUCACCAGAGCAGAUAGAACUGUCUCAGAAGCUGGAGAAGUGGGCAGUGGACUUUGUAACCUUCAAAACACCCCCACUGGGAAGGAGACCAAAGAAAGGUUCCCCAGGAGAUGCCUUCAUGGGGUACCAUCCAGACACAGCUGCCGCUGUUGUGCUUCAAGUCCUAGGGAGGGAGGACCGUAUCGUCACCAUUGAAGAAGAAAUGUUUAAAGAAUGUCAGCAGACAUUGUUGUGGUGUGCCACACCAGCAUCAGUUGUCAGACUCGCCGAGCAGAAGCUGUAUCUGGAAGCAAAGGAUAUCCACACACUCUACUGGCGCAACCAGAAACAUGAUGACAUCUUCCAGUAUCUUCAGUGGAAGAUCGUGCAGCUAAAAUGUCAGACCCUGCAAGCUCAGGUAACAACUCACUCCAAGCUGCUGACAGACCAGGAGAAGGAGGACUUGAGCAUACAUCUGAGUCUGCCUCCCAACAACAUCAUCCUCCUCACACUGCAGUCCUUUGACACAGAGCAGCAGUUUGCACAGCAGAUCAAAAACUUUGUGCAGCGGAGUGUGGAGGGUCAGAAACUGCUGCUAGUUCAGUGUGGAUCUGGAGACAGGAACCAGUCUCUCAUCAGGAGUGCCCAGUACUGUGUUCUGGAUGAGCUGCAUGAUGCAAGACAGUUUGCUGUAGUCUUCAUCAUACAACUGCCUAAUAUUGCUGGAGGAUGCUUCUCUGGCUUUCAGGCUGGGAAAUGGCACUCAUUACAUCUAGAUGAACUGCGACCACCAACUUCAGACCUGCCAUCCAUGGAGGUGCUUCACCAGAAUUCACCGUCAUCUAUUCUUGAAGGACUGAAAAGCAAUAUGCCACCUACAAGUGUCCAACCUUCAGAGCAGAGGAUUGAACCCAUGGAGUAUGAGGAAGAUUUGAUGGGGAAUCUAGAUGAUCAAGAAGGUCAGAAUACCAGACAGAGACAUUCAGAGUUGAUGGAAGUUGAUGAAUCUGUUAAUUACCGCAGACAAGAUCCAUUAGAAAUGGAUGACAUAACGCUAGAAGGAAUGACAUCAAUGACAGACACUGUUGCUCCCUACUUCCAACACCUCCUUCUACCCUGCAUCCAGUCCGCUGCUGCUCUCAUCAGGGAUGUAGAACUGGACACCAAACGCUCUACCAAGAGGAUAGAGAUCCUCCUGAAGCUCCUGGAUAACACAGACAACGAAGAUGCCAAGAUGUUCAUGCAAGGCUUGUCCAAGCUCAUCAUCAGCCUCCUGAAAGAAAAAGAGGAAUCACAGACUGGUAUCUUGCCAACAAACUGGCUGUCUAAAGAAGCUGCCAGACCAGAGAAUGUCAGAAAGGCUGGAACGUUCAGACGUGCUGCCAUCCAGUGCCUUGAGAACAAAAUGACCCCAGUACUGGCUCGAGUUCUGGCAUUCCUUGAUACCAGCAGGAACCUAGACUUCAUGCAUGCACCUGAUGUUGCACCAUGGACGAAAAGACUAUGGCUGGCAUUGCUCAACAACACCACAGUCUGUCAUGACCAGUGUAAGAGGAUCAUCACCCCUGGCAACCAGUCCCAGCAGAGUGAGGUUGUACCACAUCAUUUUGGAGUCAGCAAAUUGGUGUUUUCAGUUCAGAUGCCAUUUUUCUGGCUUCUCUUUGAAGGUGUUCAACUUGCUAUUGGACAGUCAGAAGACAUUGGCAAUUCUUUUGAUCAAGACUCACAUGACUCUUUGAGUUAUGUGGAGAACAUCGUCAACAAGACUCCGUAUGGCGAAGUCCUGUCAUCUGUUGUAAGAAAAGAAGAAAAAAGCGGGGUUGUGAGAGCAUACCUUGAAGAUUUUGUCCAUACACUCUAUUUUGGGAAAACAGAUGAGUUUGAGAUUCUCUGUCAUGCCUUUGAGAGUGCAGCCAGACAGAGAGGGAGAGACCUGGAUUGUCUAGGAAUUAUACGAGCUGUAGUCUACAUCCACGUUAUCCACUCCGCUGCCAAAGAGAGGCUGCAGCUCUUCCUGGAGGUUGUCCAGGUCUGGCCGGAAGUUGUGACGGCUGUCAUUGACUUGAAGGAGAGAGUAGGAGGGAACCCACUGCUCACAGAUGAUGAAAUGACUUUGGAUGUUCUGAGUCUGACACUUCUCAUGGAGCAGCUGGAGCCAAGUAAGGAUGAACUGAACACAGAUAAAGGCCGAUCAGACUGGAUGGAUCGUGUCAAGACAUAUCUGCCUGUGAUAGGUAGAAUCUUCAAGGCAACAGACACAGAGCUUACACAUGGCAAUGUGUGUCUCAGGGCAAUGAAUCAUGCCAGAUGCAGUUGGAUGCGAGUUAUGACAAUGAAACUGUUUCUGGAAAGUUUUACUGGAAAUAAGAAGGUUCAGCUGGAGACGAGAUGCAUGCCUCUUUGGAAGAUGCUUGGUGAACAGACUGAUCUGACCAAACUAGAGUCACUUGAAAAAGUAGAGAAAUUCUUGAAAAUAGUCAACAAAUCAGUUGUGAAGAAAAUCAGUGGGAAAAUAGGUACUUGUAGUCACUGUGAAUCAGAGUAUGAAGCACCACCAGUAGAGCUUCCCUGCAAAGACAAGAUCUGCCUACGUUGCUUCAAUGACAUCCAAGCCACAAGGGAUUUAUGUUGUCCUAUUUGUAAUAGUACAAUCUCAAAGAAAUUUCAACCUGGCAGUGGCCCAUCACAACAAAAGGAAGUGUUCAAAGAAUACCAAGAGUAUCAGAAGUGCUGCAACAGCUUCCUCAUGUCUGUGGUGUCCAAGCUGUGUUUUGGUGGAACAGAGCCUCCAGAGAGUGCUGUCAUAGAAAGGAUCUUCAGCUACAUCACUCGCACUGUUGAGCAGGGGGGAUCUGGCCAGACAGAGGAAAGGUUGCACACCAAACAAAUGUCUGUGUUUGAUGACAUGAUUGAUCCCACACCUGUGGUUCGAUCCUUUCUUCUUCAACUUCUCAUACACAAGAGUGAAGAUAUGGUGCAAACAUACCUACAAGAUUUUUUUCUCCAGGCUAAGAACCUGUGUGAACAAGAAAGAAGGGAGACAUCCCAGGAAACUAAAGACAAAAUUGUCCAGUUCAGUCUUCUUGUCAUACACUGCUUUGAGGACUUGUACCAUGAGAAAGGGUCUCAGAUAAUGAUAUCAUCAGAGGAGAUGCGUACUGCUUGUUUCCGGCUGUCAGAAGGCAGAAGCUACAUUCUCUCAUCAGGUUUGGAUAUGGCCAAGCUGUUUAUUAUUGCCCAAUGUAGAUAUGGUCUGUCAGUGACAGCCAAAUAUCUGCAUGCAGUGUUUGUGAACAAGAGACCUUCUGUAGAGAAUUUCAACAAACUGUUGGAAAUGACUUCACAACUGCUGAGUGUCCAAGAUACAGAAUGGCCAAAGAAGUUCUUGGUGAAGCAGAUAUGUCGGGAGUUUGGGACUGACAGCUACCAUGCUAUCUGUGAUACUGGCAAGGUGCCAUGGCUGGCUCUGGAUGUUACAGAGCAGGUAAAGGAAUGCCCAGAUCGAUUUGUGGUGUGUCUUGAAAACACCACGUACCAAAAAGUAAGAGAAGCUUUGGCUAAGACUCUCCUUGGUGAAGACAUCAAGCACCUGAAACAACUAGUAAAGGACAAUGAGAUGCUGUUCCUCCUGGCCAUACACAGGGAAGUGACGAUGAGGAACAUCAACCCUCAGACACAGGCACAAUCUGUGGAAGAGGUUGCAAAGUUCAUUGAAACAACAAAAGAAAAGGUUACUCAAAAGGAGACAGCUCUGAGGUUACUGAGAAAUCAGCUUGGUCGUCCAGGAUCUUGCUUGACUGUUCGUCAAGGUCAGAGCAUGAGAGACCAGAGUGUGAUGUGUCUUCUAGUCCAUGCAUAUAUUACCCUAACUCACUUCAACAAGGCAACAAACUUCAUGAAACCCCUCACAGACCUCAUUCUGGCACCACAGACAAUGAUGAACAAGCUUUUUCCCACAAUGCCACAGGAUGACACAGAUGUCAUCAGACAAAGUUUGGCAAGAGAAGGAACCAUUGUCUUCUUUCAAUGUCCUAAUGGACACCCAUAUGCAAUUGGAGAGUGUGGUAGACCUUAUACUGAAGCGACGUGCAAUAUCUGUGGGUCAAAGAUUGGUGGACUAUCACACAUAGCAGCAACCGGAAAUACACAGCAUACUGGUGACCAGACCCGUCCUGGUCAUGUUCUGGGAAGAGCAGCAGAUAGAACCAGUGCCUAUGCUGGAGAACGUAGACUGGGAGGAGCUGUCUGUGCUGUUCUGCGUUUCUUCACUCAUGCUGCAUUACUUCUGGGAGCAGAGAACAAUCCGCAGGCAGUAGCAGCUCUGGUCUACCCCCAGCUACAGCAGGAUACCAGUCAGUUUUUCUUGGAGCACCUCCAGAAGGACCUUCAGAUCAUCCAUCUGGCCACAGGGAAGAGUGUGGAUGAUGUCUUCCUCCUCCUGCACUUCAUCUGUCAUCAGAUUUCACAGUCAGAAGUAUACAGACGCAUGGAGCCACAAGAACUGGUCAACAAGCAGGUCAGGGAAACCUGGGAGGAACAGUUUGCAAAUUCUUUCAUUGGCCCAGUGUUACAGGAUCUUGACAACUGCCUGAAUACAUGCAAUGAGAGAAUCAUGAAGGACAAGAGAAUAGGUCAGGACAAGCUGAUGUCUAUUCUGUAUGAAGUAGACACUUCCACUCCCCAGCAAGUUGACUGUCUCCAUGAGUUCCCAGCUGUCUGGAGGUACCGGUCACGUAUCACCCUGGAGCAUUUCCUGCGAGAGUUCCAUCUGAAAGUAGAGAACAGCAAGGGCAAGAAAUCCAAGAUGGAAGUGCUCAGCCUUUUCAGACAAGAGCAUCCAUUCUUACAAGCACUACAUCACAUCCCAAAUAUUCUCCGACUACAACAGUACCUAAUGGCAAAAUACAGGCGGCGCCUUGAUAGAGUGGAAGCUAAAAGAAUUACCAUUGCUGAUGCUGCAGAGGAAGGAAGCAACUCUAUUGAUGUCCUGGAACAUCUGUCAAAUUUCACAGCAGCCUGGGAAUGUGUCAAGGAAGGACUACACAGUUAUGGAUGUUGGACAGUCCAUGAUGGUCUGAUACACCUGCCUGAUGCCUACAAGAACAUGAGGAUAGAGGAGAACUCCCCUCUAGCCGUCCUUCUGCCGUCCACUCAGGGACCCGGUAUCUGCUCCUACAUGAUGCUGGAGUUCCUCUUCAGGAAGCACAAUGAAUUCAUGGAAAAAUACUGCAACAAAACAAAACAAAAGUAUGAGCACCUGCCUGAGGUCAACAUGAGGAAACUUCACAGUAACCACCUGGUCAGCUACCACCCUGACCGUGACCUGCUGCCCCUUGUCCUGGCCAACUGUAACUACUCCUUUGAGCUGGGGAAAGGCACCACCAUUGAGUAUGACUUUGAAGGAUUUGAGUAUCAGCUCAAAGAAGUCAUUUUACAGGCCAAGUCAAGAGUGGAGAAGAAGUCGCAUAUCAUACCUAUUGACACUAUGGUGUACAGAGCUGACACAACCAAUUCUGUUGUCUUCAAGACGCUGAGAGACAGAAUAGAUCAGGAAUCACUUUCUCCAGCGGUGAAGGUACAAAUUGUGUCUGAACUCAAGUCCAGCUUGCCAGACAUCUGUGACUCUAUCAACAACUUGGACAUCACCACCAGCUUCCUCAAGUCUCUGGGAGGAGAUCCAGACAAGUCACUUCAGACUUUCAUGACAGAUGUGCUCAAGAUGAAACAGACAAUAACUAGUCAGAAGGCCCGACAGUUUUGCAGAUUCAAGCAUAUACAGUCUUUGUGGCUGUUGCUCAGUUUUGAGAAAUCAGUUGUCUUAGCUCAACAUGCACAGGAUGCCUUUGACGAUUUUGACAAUGAACUGAAAGAAGGUCUCCCAGAUGAUGCCAGAGCUCAUCUUAAACAGUUUUGUCAGAACAAGAACCUAGAAAAGCUGGAGUACCUUUUGCAGCAAAUGUUUGACUGUCUUCUGCUGAGAGUAGCUCAACCAGUUGACCCAAAUGAUCAGGAAGCCAUCGACCUGAAACGCAUAAGUCUGCGAGACAUCCUUCAAGGUGACCGAGAUGCUCCGCUGUACUGUAAGGAACCUGAUGAGACACUGACCGAGGAAGACAUCCUCACAUUCCCAGCAGACAUCUUGGGGAAGCACAUUCCCGACACCUGGCUGUCUGUCCUCCGGGAACUCACACAACGCAGAAAGGAGUUUCAAUAGUGCCUCAACUUCUGUCAAUAGUGGAUUGUCAUACUUAUGUUGUGUAAAUGUUGAAUCUAAUAGAAAUUAUGAAUUGUGGCAGUCCUCUGGUAACUCACACAACGCAGGAAGGAGUUUCAAUAGUGCCUUCAGUGUAGGUCAAUAGAUCGUCAUACAUUUGUUGAAGUAGAAUGAAGAUGUCGAUCACUUAAUAUUACAGACUUAUAUUAAUUCUUGACAUAACUACUUUCGGUUUGUUUAUUAUCUUUAUAUUUGAAUUCGCUGAUGUUACAAUUGCUCUCAUGUAUAUAUUCUUUUUCAUAUAGUGCAGUAGUUUUCCACUUUUUGCUUUUCAUUUUGUGAUGUGUUAUAACCAAAUUGUUUUGAAUACUUGUAUCUUGAAACAUUUUUAAUGAAACUAUACGUAUCAUGUUAUGUAUGAUUUAAUCACUCGAUAUAUAUUUUCUAGACUUUUUCCUAUUUAGAAUAUGUAUAUGACAUAAAUUCAAAUGAUUUUGAUAGUGCUGAUGGAAAAGAAAUAUGUCCUUGCUCUUAGUACUUAGUACUGCUUACUCUUACAUAUUGCAUAAUAACAUAUAUUCUGGAAUGAAUGUUUUUGUUCAUGCCAGAGGUUUAAUGUAGGUUACAACAUUGUAGAUGUAUACAUAUGUAUUUUCUUUGGUGUGACAUUCUGCUGUGCCAAGAUGUACCAGUAUUGAUCUGUAACAUGGUCUACACACUAUGCUAUAGAAUACACAUUUCUUUUUCUUACCUGAUCUUAAUACAUGCAGCUGUGUACAGAGAUUCACCUAAAGAAAACACUCAUGCAUUCUGUGUUGUCAGAAAUAUGUAACUGAUGGAUCUGUUCCCUCUACAUGAUCAUAUUAGUAACUGCACCCUUUGCUAUGUAUAUAUAUAUGCAGAGAUUUAAUUCAUAUUUGUUGUUAGAAUCAUAUAUAAACUUCUCUGUCAUUGGUGUUUGAAGGUGAACUUGUAUGAGGAUUUGAUCAGCAUCUGUCUGAUUUGCAAUAUGUUGACCUUCUUAUACAGAUUACAAUUUCUAUAUGGAUUGUAGAUGAAUGUUUACAAAUUAUUAUUUUGUUGAGUACUGAGGUAAGAAGAAGACAUUUUACCUGAACAGAGUCUUAAUAACCAAGCUUGAUGUUAAUAAUAAUAUUAUUUAAAGAAUCUUUAUUGAUUUUUUGUUGUUUUGAAACAUGUCAAACAGUAAUAAACACACAAAUGGAUGUUCAGUAAAUACUGUAGAUCAAUAUUAUAUCAAUGACAGGAAUAUGAUAUGAAUGCAUUCUGUUGUGUCAAGUUGAGGAGAAAGGGUUAUUUAUGUGAUGUUAUAGGAGUUGAAGAUACUGCAUUUUCAAUGUAGAACUAUAUGUUCCCUGUAGAUUUGAUGUCACUUAGUUGACUUUCAAAUCCAAACUAUAAUACUUUCUGCCCAAAUGGAUACUUGAAGUAUUUUGGUAACUGCAACUCUGCUUUCUGUAGCCUACACUUGUACAUACAUGUAUAAUCAUUUCCAAAUGACUGAGACAGAAGAAACCUAUGUGCUAGUCGAUCAAUUUUCCUGUAUUAUUUCCAAUAUGUUUGAUAGUUGACUGCACUCAGAAAGUCAGAUUAUCAAUCGUUUUGUGAAAGAUUUAUCCAGGGUAUGAUUUAUUCAGGUUAACUGAUAACAUGUAAUAAUGUGUAUAUCACUCACUCACUCAGACACACACACACACAAUAAUAUUAAAUAACAUAAACACCAUUUUAUAAUCAUGCUUUUGUUUGCUUCACAUGUACCGGUACGUUUUGUAGGGGUUUUUUUCAGUAAUAUGUCAGUUUUGAUUUCUUUCCUGUAUUAUUGCAGUUUGCUUCAUUCAAUGCAGCACAUCCAGAAUGUGUUUUUUUCACCAACAUGGUGAAUAAAAUGUACAAAAAGUAAUGUUGUUUAUCUUUGUAUUAGUAGAUAUACAUUUUAAAAGCAAGAGCUUUAUGAGCAGUUGUUUAAAGUGGUUUAUAUCAUCCAGUAUGUAUGCUAUAGUAAAACAUUUCAUGUGUUGCUUGGAAUAUUUUGACUUUGAAGUUACAGCUAUGAUCUGUCUUUCAAAAAAUGUUUCAUUUAACAGGACCUCAUAAAUUCAGUAUAUUGAUAAUGAGAUGUAUUUAGAUGUCCUUUUAUAGAAAAAGUGACAAAUCAGGUCACAAAACUAGGUUGAUAUCUUGAUUUGUUGAGAGACUGUGUUACAGUAGAUAGAAAACUAAUUAAUCUAGAUGACAUGACCAUCACACACGAGGUUCCCCGACACAAACUGCUGCAGUAGUUAUUAUAGUCGAGGAACUAUUGUGAUUGGCUGAAUGUCAAGGAUCAGGAUGUUAGUAAAUAGGUGAAGUGUGUAUAUAUGUCAUUUUACAAUCAGGUUUCAUUUGUGUACAUAUAAAUUCAUUAAAUCAGAUUUGUUUUAUUUGAUUCUUUAGUUGCUUUUGACAUCCCAGUUUAAUCCUUUCUCCUCAACGGAUGAUUUAAUGAGGCAAAUGUUUGAAAGUUUGAAAUAUAUUUUUGUUUAUCUAGUGUCCAUUUUCAUACCAUUCUCUUAAACAGUGAAAUCAUGAGCACUUUACAGAAAAUAUAUCUCUGUAUUUGGAAUAUGAUUAUUGAAGGUCAUCUUUUGAAUAUAUUUUACUAUAGCUUAGAAAUACAUUUGCUCAUACCUGUACAACAAAAUAUAUUCAUGGUGAGGUGAGGUGAAAUUCAAGAUUAUUGCACUUAUAUAUAUGUGUCUGUCUGGCUGAUUGUACUAAUCCUGGCUAAAUCCGGGGUUUUUUUUUGUGCUAGCCCACUGAGAUACCAUGUGGCAGUUUAACAUAGCCCACUCAGACAAACUAUAAUGAUUCCUAGCCGCAACAUGUAAGUAAACUGUGUAUAGAACUGAAGUUUCUGUGGUAAAGCAAAAAGCAAUGAUUGCAUGACAUGGUACCUCUUAAUUGUGAAAAUUAAGGAUGUUGGAAAGGCUCGUCAUUCUGUGAUGUUAAGGUUAGAAAUAUGUUUAUCACAUAAUAUUUUGUUUGUUUAUCUGCUUUUUAGGUGUUGGUUGUAUUUGUUUUCUAUUUAACAAUAAAGAACUCACCUUUAAUCAUGUUAUUACAGUUUGUAACACAGCAGUCAUAGUAUUUAAGACUUUGUUAUGAUCGGAAACCAGAAUAAUAAUAGUUUUCUCAGAAGACAUUUUGAUUCUGUGCUCUUUAGGUGAGGAAUGCAUGACAUGAUUUAAUAAAGGCUUAUAACUGGUU
rnacentral:misc_RNA from 1 species